GACGAACGCUGGCGGCGUGCUUAACACAUGCAAGUCGAACGGAAAGGCCCUGCUUUUGUGGGGUGCUCGAGUGGCGAACGGGUGAGUAACACGUGAGUAACCUGCCCUUGACUUUGGGAUAACUUCAGGAAACUGGGGCUAAUACCGGAUAGGAGCUCCUGCUGCAUGGUGGGGGUUGGAAAGUUUCGGCGGUUGGGGCGGGACUCGCGGCUUCUCAGCUUGUUGGGGGGGUAGUGGCUUACCAAGGCUUUGACGGGUAGCCGGCCUGGGAGGGUGACCGGGCAAAGGGGAAUAAGGGAGGGGGCCGAACGCCACGGGGAGGAAGGGGGGGGAAAGUGACGGAAAAGGGGGGAGGCAGGGAUGAAGGACGCCGGGGGGGGAAAGACGGCUAUUGGGGGGGAACCCAUUUUGCCGUGGAACGAAGGGUAGGGACGGGAAACGGGAAAAGAGCCACGGCUAACCAAGUG
rnacentral:rRNA from 1 species